GUUUCAUCCCUGCCCGGGGUUUGCUGAGCGCGCAUCUGUGGGGCCUUAUCACCUUCCCUGGCGCUCACCGCCUGAGCUGAGAGGCCUGGCCUCGUGUGAGGAGACUAGCAGAAUCUCGUUACUGCCACCACCAUUCUCUCACACAAUUUUUUAUCGCUGUAAUUCCGACCGGACUUCCUGAUCCAAGAUGUGCGUCUUCCAGCAGGCCCACUGAGGUCCACAGUGAUUGGUGCUAAAUGGCAUGGAUUAAAGCACCCCACAGAUACCAUUUACUCUGGCUGGAUCAGAGGAGCAGGCCUGACUUACAAGCCUUGUCCACUUAUGCUCACUUGUUACUGUACUUAACGGAGGGACCUAGAGAAAAGGUAAGAUAGAAGAUGUCAACUAAAG